CGGGAUAAAGCAUAAAAUAAUGCAUCUCUUUUACACUGAGAAGAUAAUAUUUACCUAUUUAUCCCGC
rnacentral:tRNA from 1 species